GCACAACGCGAAGAACCUUACCAGCCCUUGACAUGGUCGGACGGUUUCCAGAGAUGGAUUCGUGCUCGAAAGAAAACCUGCACACAGGUGCUGCAUGGCUGUCGUCAGCUCGUGUCGUGAGAUGUUGGGUUAAGUCCCGCAACGAGCGCAACCCUUGCCAUUAGUUGCUACGAAAGGGCACUCUAAUGGGACUGCCGGUGACAAACCGGAGGAAGGUGGGGAUGACGUCAAGUCCUCAUGGCCCUUAUAGGUGGGGCUACACACGUCAUACAAUGGCCGGUACAAAGGGCAGCCAACCCGCAAGGGGGGAGCCAAUCCCAUAAAGCCGGUCGUAGUCCGGAUCGCAGUCUGCAACUCGACUGCGUGAAGUCGGAAUCGCUAGUAAUCGUGGAUCAGCAUGUCACGGUGAAUACGUU
rnacentral:rRNA from 1 species